GUGGGGAAUAUUGGACAAUGGGGGAAACCCUGAUCCAGCCAUGCCGCGUGAAUGAUGAAGGCCUUCGGGUUGUAAAGUUCUUUUGGUGGGGACGAUGAUGACGGUACCCACAGAAUAAGCUCCGGCUAACUUCGUGCCAGCAGCCGCGGUAAUACGAAGGGGGCUAGCGUUGUUCGGAAUUACUGGGCGUAAAGGGCGCGUAGGCGGCUCCGCAAGUCAGAUGUGAAAGCCCUGGGCUUAACCCGGGAACUGCGUUUGAUACUGCUGAGCUUGAAUUCGGGAGAGGUGAGUGGAAUUCCCAGUGUAGAGGUGAAAUUCGUAGAGAUUGGGAAGAACACCAGUGGCGAAGGCGGCUCACUGGACCGACAUUGACGCUGAGGCGCGAAAGCGUGGGGAGCAAACAGGAUUAGAUACCCGGGUAGUCC
rnacentral:rRNA from 1 species